GUGAAUCAUCGAAUCUUUGAACGCAAAUUGCACUCUCUUCGGAGAGUAUGCCUGUUUGAGGGUCAGUCUUAAUAAAAUUCGGUGUGUUGCUUCUUUGUGGCGCUCUGGAGCUUGGGUCAUCUUAAUAUACUUUAGGUUUUAAGAGGAUUAAAAUUGACUUUUUUUGCGCAUUUUAGAUGUACAUAAAUUCUUUUUUUAUAUUCGUCUGUCUUAAUGCUCAAUAUCCUAUUAGAUGCGACCAUAUCGUGUGGUUUAGUUUCUAUAAAUUUUCCAUGAAUUGAUCUCAAAUCAGG
rnacentral:misc_RNA from 1 species